AGCAGCCGCGGUAAUUCCAGCUCCAAUAGCGUAUAUUAAAGUUGUUGCAGUUAAAAAGCUCGUAGUUGAAUUUCGGGAUCAGACUGUCGGUCGUGCCUCGGUACGCACUGGCAUUAUUGGUUCCUACCUUCUGAAGAACCGCGAUGUCAUUAAUUUGGUGUCGCGGGGAAUCAGGACUGUUACUUUGAAAAAUUAGAGUGUUUAAAGCAGGCUUACGCUUGAAUACAUUAGCAUGGAAUAAUGAAAUAGGACGUUUGAUUCUAUUUUGUUGGUUUCUAGGAUCGACGUAAUGAUUAAUAGGGAUAGUUGGGGCAUUAGUAUUCAAUUGUCAGAGGUGAAAUUCUUGGA
rnacentral:rRNA from 1 species